rnacentral:pre_miRNA from 1 species
GCCGAGAAGAGGAAGAGAGAGACUCUAAGAGCAUUGGGAAUAGGAUCAUAGAGGAAAGUCUAGAGCUUGAUUUCUCCUCCAGUGUCAGUGUAGAGGUAGAAAUUUGCUUUGGGUUUUCCUGAUGCCUCAUAUUCCUAUUGAUCUUAGGCACUCCUUCCUCUUCCUUUUGGCU